rnacentral:rRNA from 1 species
AUUGAACGCUGGCGGCAGGCUUAACGCAUGCAAGUCGAGCGGGGGAGGUUGCUUCGGUAACUGACCUAGCGGCGGACGGGUGAGUAAUGCUUAGGAAUCUACCUAUUAGUGGGGGACAACAUUCCGAAAGGGAUGCUAAUACCGCAUACGCCCUACGGGGGAAAGCAGGGGAUCUUCGGACCUUGCGCUAAUAGAUGAGCCUAAGUCGGAUUAGCUAGUUGGUGGGGUAAAGGCCUACCAAGGCGACGAUCUGUAGCGGGUCUGAGAGGAUGAUCCGCCACACUGGGACUGAGACACGGCCCAGACUCCUACGGGAGGCAGCAGUGGGGAAUAUUGGACAAUGGGCGGAAGCCUGAUCCAGCCAUGCCGCGUGUGUGAAGAAGGCCUUUUGGUUGUAAAGCACUUUAAGCGAGGAGGAGGCUCUUAAGGUUAAUACCCUUGAUGAGUGGACGUUACUCGCAGAAUAAGCACCGGCUAACUCUGUGCCAGCAGCCGCAGUAAAAC